rfam:Ipomoea nil DNA, scaffold: scaffold1940, cultivar: Tokyo-kokei standard.
GCACCUAUAGCCUAGUGGUUAAGGCUUUAGUCUUGUAAGUGGAAGGUUUAGGGUUUCAUUCCCAUUGGUUGCA